rnacentral:rRNA from 1 species
CCAGCUCCAAUAGCGUAUAUUAAAGUUGUUGCAGUUAAAAAGCUCGUAGUUGGAUUUCGGAAGGUCUUUAGUGGUCCGCCCCUUCGGGGAGCGGGUCACUGGCCUCCUAUGUUCCUAACGGUCCUCAUCCGCGAGGGUGGGGAAUCAACCGCUAGGAUCGUUUACUUUGAGGAAAUUAGAGUGUUCAAGGCAGGCGUGUGCUUGGAUAGGUUAGCAUGGAAUAACGGGAUGGUCCGUUGGUUGGAGCGUAGGUUGAUAGGGACAGUUGGGGGCAUUGGUAUUUGGCAGUCAGAGGUGAAAUUCUAGGAUUUACUAAAGACUGACCAAUGCGAAAGCAUUUGCCAAGGAUGUUUUCAUUAAUCAAGAACGAAAGUAGGGGGAUCGAAGACGAUCAGAUACCGUCGUAGUCUCUACCGUAAACUAUGCCGACCAGGGAUCCGGAGAGUUUGCAUGGAUGACUCCCCGGGCACCUUGUGAGAAAUCAUAAGUGUUUGGGUUUUGGGGGGAGUAUGGUCGCAAGGCUGAAACUUAAAGGAAUUGACGGAAGGGCACCACCAGGAGUGGAACCUGCGGCUUAAUUCGACUCAAC